CCCCGCGCCCCCCCCCCCCCGCCUCCUCUCCUGCCGCUGCCGCCGCCGGAGAAGCUCGCCUCCCCGCGUCCUCUUCUCCAGCACAACCUCGCCGCCGCCUCCUUCCUUCUGUUCUCUCCUCGAAGAGCCAGCGCGUGGACUGGUCGUGCUGGCCGGGAUCUGAACGUGGAAAAGGAGACCCCAGAGGAAGUCAACGUUCUGAUGGGGGCUCGAUUGAUGCCGCCGACGGCGAGCGCCGGUGAGCGACGGGGCGGCCGGCAGCUCUCCUGACCUCCUUCUAGGUUGCCGGUCUGGAGUGGGAGGGACGAACGCCGGCGAGGCCAACCUCCCCUUUACACGCAGAUCUGGCAUGGAAGAGAAGAAACCCAAGGUUAAUUAUGAGGUCAGGGUACCCUUUCACUGACAUGACUGUAGAUGCCUGCAGGAGGGCAGCAACGGAAUAAAUGUACUGAAAGUAGGUGGUUAUCAGAGAUGCUGAAUUCAUGCUCAGUGCUGAUAACUUCGCUGCAGAUCAGAGCUGAGCAGAUACACAGAAUGUUCUUGAGCUUAGACACACAGAUCCUUGGGAAACAUAGGUAUGGCUAUUCUCUUGCGUCCUGUUCAGUUUCAUGUUUCUUGGAUCGUCUUUUCCGCACGUUCAACUUCAAGCUCCAAUCAUGGGUUUUGUCAACUGGGAGUGUGUGCACUAAGCCAGGGGCGACCAGGAACUCUCACACUAACAGGGUUCUAUCAAGAUUCCCUGUUUUUGUCCAUGAAAUUGGUGUGAUGAGUCAAACUCUUUUGUUCUGUACCAUCCUUACUAGACAUUCGUUUGCAACUGAACCUAGAAGAAAUUUAAUUCACUGGUCAAUUUUGUAUCUAUGGCAUUGAAUUGGUUUUCUGAAUUUUGUUAGCUCAGAGAUUGUACACUAAGGCAGGGUGACCAAAAACUCACACCGACAGUGUUCCAUCGAGAUUUCUUGUUUCUGUCCAUGAAAUUUGUGAGAUAGGUGAAAUUCUUCUGUUUUGUACGCUCUUACUAGACAUUUUUUUCUUACCGUACCCCCAAAUGCAAAUCUAUACUGAAACAGUAAUACAAGAAACUUAAGAAUGAAUCCAUACAUGAUACUGUUCUGAAAAUGAAAAUUCCUAAUAUGGAGACGCUUGAGUUUGAACCUUAAACCCCAUACCUGAAUAUAAAAAUGGAUAUCGAUAUUUCUCAUGAAUCAUUUUUAUACUAACUGCACACAAUAGCACUGAUGGGAACAAUGUUGCUGAUUUACAAAUUGUGCACGCAACACAUGUGCUAUUUUGUUUGCUUAUUUUUGUCGGGUAGCAUACUGCGUACAUAUUCUGCAGCCCACAAGACUAUCAGCUACAGACAAGUUGGUUGGUAUAUUAGCACUGAAAUCUCGGAGAUGGAGAUAUGAUGCAUCUCAAAGGCCCAUUGUUGUUCUGCUAAAAUGUAAGUCCUCAUUCCACAGAUACAUAGGCUGAACGACUCGAAUGUGCAUGUUGUCGUUUAUCACACUUAUGGUGUUGUAAUUGGUUUCCCCAUUUGCUACACCUGGAAGUAUCCCUCCGGUCACAACGGUGAGACAUAUCCCAUAUAUUUCCCUUUGUUACUUCUAAUUCUUUGUUUCAGAUGCUACGCUGCUCGUUCAUGGAUAUACUCUGUUUGGACUGGGGAGUGCGCCGUUGCGCCGUCUUUAUUUGUGAAAAAGGUCUUCUGUCAAGGCGGCCGUGUUCUCAGAGCUCCUUAUUUGGAUCUUUGUGGAUGGGUGAGCCUAUUUGCUUGCUGCCUUGCUGGUGUUGGAGACCUGUGGUUACUCUGUUUACUGAAACAAAGAAAAAUAUACGAGUAUCAUGUGCCAAGCAUUUCCUACUUCACCUUUGCUAGCAGGGGAAAUUGCGAUGCUUAUUACGAAUUGUUGCAAGAAAGUAUUUCAUCUGUUUUGGUGUAAGGAUGCUGCUUUUUAGUAUGAUACCCAUAUCUUAGUGGCUUGGAGCAGCAAGCAUAAAAAAAUACUAGCAUUCCUAAAUGGGCAUCCAAUUUUAGAAAGCACACUUAAGAAACAUGCACACGUGUCUUUAGAUCCUAUGGAGCAUUCCUAAUAAUGACCAUCUAUUUAACUAUCUUGGAUCAUUACCAUUAAAAAAUACAGCAUGGCAUUCAUAAUGUUCAGUUAUUCAUAAAUGUGGCAUUUAAUUCUUCUCCUGGCAUGAUAUUUAAGCAUGUUGCAUAUACCAAUCUGUUGAUAAUUCAAUUAUUGAUUCUGAUGUACAAACAGGCAAAACCAUUGCCUGUUUGGAUGAUGCACAUGAGUAUGUUUUUGUUAGUUUUCGGUGAUGUACGUCGUGAAGCGGGACGGGCAGACGGAGACGGUGCACUUCGACAAGAUCACGGUGCGGCUCAAGAAGCUCAGCUAUGGGCUCAUCCAGGAGCACUGUGACCCCGUGCUCGUCGCGCAGAAGGUCUGCGUAGAAUGUCUGCGUCAGGGUAUACAUGGGCGUCACCACCAGCCAGCUCGACGAGCUCGCCGCCGAGACCGUCGCCGAGCUCACCGCCUCCCAGCCUGACUAUGCCUCCCUCGCGGCGAGGAUUGCUGUGUCUAACCUGCCGCCAAGUGGAAAUAGUCUGUGUGGCGCCCGUAAAUAGAGAACAUUUUGGUAGAAAGGUACAGGAAAGAAUAGGGAAACUUCUGUCAUUUUCUUUGGUCUUUGGAAAAUAAAUGGUGAUAUGGGCUGAUACAUUGCUAAAUUACAUGAUACGGACUCACUUCUCUUUUUUGAUUUUCGGUUUACUUCGUUGUGCUACAAUGGCUCUCCUAGGAAUGUUCUUCCAUGAUUUGAUGUGCACAAUCCAGAAAGUGCAUGCAUCCAGAAACCAAAUAGGAUUUUUUAUGAGUUAUCUUCUCAUAAAUCUUGUGCUCGUCCAAUAAGAAUAAGGUUUGGUCGUGUUGCUUUUGUCUGUCACCCGGUAGAUUUCAGACUUCAAGCUAGCUGCAGUUAUUUCAGGUUAUAUGUGCAAAUCCUUGGUGUGACAUAAUUGGUAACUGACCAUGAAUACGUUGCAAUCUGGUAUGUCUAAUUCUUGAUUUAUGUGGUACCAUGGUCUAAAAAUUGGUCCUAAAGAUACAUGAUGUUUUUGUACAAAGUUGAGACCGUUAUUUUGGAACGGAGGGAGUAUCAGAUUACUUUGUUCCUUUUUAAUUUGGUUCUAAAGAUAUAAUUUUAGAGUGAUCGUUUUGCAUCAGCCAAGCUUGCCGUUAUUACAAAUAAUUGUUCUAUUGUCCUCAAUUCACUUUCUUGGUUUUUUAAUGCUACGAGCAUUAUUGUUCCAGUUCUUUUUAGUUAUUGAUCAUGCCAUUUUUCUUUCUGCCUUUGUAGCUGAAAGAUUAGUGAGACUGACUGAAUUCUGAACAUGUUUCAUGUGAGAGAAAUAGCAUGUUGAUUUCAUCUUGAAAUAAUCAUAGCUGAGGGACGAGGUUCGUAACUGAGGGUCAUCUGCAGAGCUGGAGAAAGAAGUUGCGAGGCUUGGAACUCUCCUUGUGAAGGGCUCAGGACAACAGUGAGGAUAAUGCCUCUUUAGUUGUAAUUGUGAUACUCCUGAUGUGCAAGUAAACACUCCUGUGAUACUCCUUAUGCUAAAAUGUUGGUUGUUAGUAUAGAGGUGGUGACAUUAUUUGGUUCUUUGGUAUUGAUUUCAUGAUUUGUGGUUAAUACCUGAUGUAAUACAAUCCACAUUGCAUUAUAUUUCCAGUUACAUUUCC